UGGAGCACGCAGACUUAACCACUUGGCCUCGGGGCCGGCCCUCUGUGUAACUUUUCAGAUGAAGUUUUAAAAACAGAUGGUGCAGUCUCACCAGCUAGUUCCUUGCCAGUAUUUUCAGCAGUCGGCACUGGAGAGUCAAUCAGACGUCACUUUGGAGAAAGAAAAAAUGACAAAGCAAAGUAGAAUCUUCAGCCUUUGCUGCUUCAAACGAGAGGGAAUCUUAGCCACAUUUUGUCAAUAAAGGGAGAUGGUGGAACACUUGGUAACAGUAAGAGACAGAACAGAUCAGACUGAGCAAAUGAGAAAUGGUGAUUGUGCUACCCAGUGAACCUACAUUAAGAGUAGAACUAAUAGAAGCAGAUCUUUCUCUUUCUGCCUUUUUUUUUUUUUUUUUUUGUAAACUAUAUAAAGAUGCCAGGAAGGUUAGAGGAGCUGCGGUGCUUUGGUUACCUCUGCGUUCCCAGGACUUUGUGCAUAACUCAGAAUACAUGUAGGGAUAAAGAUAAUGCUUUACUUCAGCAGAUAUUCCCUGAAUGCAUUCUGUGUGCCGGGUCCUGUGCUGGUCUCUGCUCCGAGGUGAGAAGCAGACAGACAGUCGAUUUCCACUCUGCUUGACAAGCGUGAUGGAUGAUGGGAGGGCAGGACAGCCAGAGUGGCCAGGAGCCCACCCAUCUAGAGUGGAGAGGAUGCUGCUGAUGCUCCCGGUGGUUCUGGAAAAGAGAUGUGAAAAGUGCAGACAACCCGCUGAUCAACGAGAAAUUCCUGAUUGCUCUCUGGCUUGUAAGCAAAGUGCAGGAAACCACAGACUGAUCAGGUAGCUCUGGGAAGAAGUGAUUUGGCAGAGUGCUGAACAGUACCUCGGGCAGCUGCUCUUCCACCUGGGCUCCAUUCCUCCUUGGUUGUGCAUCAGUCACCACAGUGAAACACCGCCACCUCUGGGACUGUCAGAAAACCCACUGCCUCCAUCAGCCUUGAGACUCAGGACUCUGUGGGGACAAUGGUUGACACCCAACUGCCAGCAAAGUCGUUGUACCCACCCAAUGCUACCACAUAAAGGACGUCUGUAGCCCUGGCUUGGAGCUUAGCCACCCAAACGGACUAAGACAGACACAUACAGAGGGAAGA